AGAAGAUUAGACAUCCACCAUAUUUGAUUUUUAUCAUAACAUAUGUUCAAUUAUAAAAUAUAAUAUGGAACACUUCCGGAGGGCUAAGCUGCUUUAGUUUAUGGAGUGUUUAAAAUUGGUCCCUACUAUGUCCAAUUAUAACUACUUAUAUAACUAUAGUCUCUGCCUUCUCUGUAGAAAACUAGUGAGAGAAGGCCUAUAUUUCAAUCAAUCAAUCAAUAACUCCAUCAUGUCAGCCAAGGAAAAUUUAACACUGAUGAAGUAAAGAGUUAGAUGAGAAGUCUGAGAAGAUUUAGUUUGAAGAAUAGGGCAACUUACUCUUGAAACUUAUCUCUAUCAAACAAAUGAAGAAAGGACCUCCUCACGCGCAGCGCACACAAACAGAAGGAAGAAGACAAUUUUUUGGACCCACAAGAGUACAUUUGAAGAAAGGGGUAUUACGACACCUUCUUCACAUGAAGUGAAAGAGGAAAGCUUAGUUGAAGAGUACAUCUACUAUCACUUCAUCACCAAAAAAGUUGGCCAUAAAGCUGUUACUUCAAGGAGGAUCGUAGGUGAGCUUGCUUCGUUUUCUCUUCUUGACUCGAAAAGUUAGAAAUUGCUAUCUAUCAACAUUAAGAAGGCAUCUAAUUUGGCGAGGAAAUGUAGUAUAGUCGGCAUUUAUACACACUUCUUCGACCAUGUGACUAAAAGAAGCCAUUUUGACAUCAACUCUAUUUGCUUCUCUGAAGCAAUGCUUUCUGAUAACUCCAUGUUGAUCCUCACUUCAUUGGGAAUCCUCUAAGGAGUAGGACAAUUGCCAUAAAUGCAGUUAUGUAGUAACAGGGAAUCUGUUUCACCAACAAUAAGAUUGAGCCCUUUUUGUAUGCACCAGUUGAUAGAAAAUAUUAGUGCACAUGCUUCUGCCUAUUUACUAGUUCCAUGCCCAAGAGGUUUGGCGAAGGCCAUUAUAAAUCUUCCCUUACAGUCUCUAAUAACUCCUCCAGCGCCACAUUUACCAUUUAUACAAGAGCCAUCACUAUUAACCUUAACAAAAAGGAUGGGAGGUUUGAUCCAUCUAACACAGAUGAUUGAUACUUCAUUGAGAUAGAUGUUGCUGAGGAUGCACAUGUCAUUUCAGUUUUCACCAAAUCUAUUCUCGCUCACCUUCAUACAAUCAACAUAGUAGAUCUGUCUCAAGGUCCAAAUAUCUUUCAAGGGGCCGGUCAAGGUACGUGUCUGCAGUUGACUUCUUCAUUAUAUAUGCUGAUGAUUAGAGUUUUAUGUUAUUUAACUGUAUUAUAAUGCCAUUUUUCUUGUAUUUCCUAUAUUUCUUAUAUUGCUGUUGUUUUGUUA